AUGGAAGGUAGGAGGGAAGAGAGAGGGAGAACAGAGAGAGAGAGAGAGACAGUCAGUAAGGCUGUUGUAGUGGUGGCAGCAGUAGCAGGAGGACAGCCAGGCUUGCGGUGGUGUGGUGUGGGGACCAUCUCUCUCUCUCUGCCUGGAGUCUGUUUCCUCUCCCUGUAUCUGGACCCAGAGACCCACCAAUGCCAACAGGUACCUCUCUACACUCUCUCUCUCUACAGCCUGCCCUAUACAGUACCUCUGGCCACAGGUAUUACACCUCUCAUCUCUAUAUCUCUCUGGCCUCACACAGGUAUUACACCUCUCUACUCUAUAUCUCUCUGGCCUCACACAGGUAUUACACCUCUCUACUCUAUAUCUCUCUGGCCUCACACAGGUAUUACACCUCUCUACUCUAUAUCUCUCUGGCCUCACACAGGUAUUACACCUCUCUACUCUAUAUCUAUCUGGCCUCACACAGGUAUUACACCUCUCUACUCUAUAUCUCUCUGGCCUCACACAGGUAUUACACCUCUCUACUCUAUAUCUCUCUGGCCUCACAAAGGUAUUACACCUCUCUACUCUAUAUCGAUCUGGCCUCACACAGGUAUUACACCUCUCUACUCUAUAUCUCUCUGGCCUCACACAGGUAUUACACCUCUCUACUCUAUAUCUCUCUGGCCUCACACAGGUAUUACACCUCUCUACUCUAUAUCUCUCUGGCCUCACAAAGGUAUUACACCUCUCUACUCUAUAUCUCUCUGGCCUCACACAGGUAUUACACCUCUCUACUCUAUAUCUCUCUGGCCUCACAAAGGUAUUACACCUCUCUACUCUAUAUCUAUCUGGCCUCACACAGGUAUUACACCUCUCUACUCUAUAUCUCUCUGGCCUCACAAAGGUAUUACACCUCUCUACUCUAUAUCUCUCUGGCCUCACACAGGUAUUACACCUCUCUACUCUAUAUCUCUCUGGCCUCACACAGGUAUUACACCUCUCUACUCUAUAUCUCUCUGGCCUCACACAGGUAUUACACCUCUCUACUCUAUAUCUCUCUGGCCUCACACAGGUAUUACACCUCUCUACUCUAUAUCUCUCUGGCCUCACACAGGUAUUACACCUCUCUACUCUAUAUCUCUCUGGCCUCACACAGGUCUGUGGAUUUGUCAUGCUGAUGUUCAGUUGAAUAAAUCUGCUCUUUGUCUCUUAGACAAACAACAACAGAAGGUAAAAAGGCUAUGUUUGAUGUCCUCGCUCUUCUGA
rnacentral:lncRNA from 8 species